rnacentral:rRNA from 1 species
UACGAGGGGGGGCGAGCGUUGUUCGGAAUUAUUGGGCGUAAAGGGUGCGUAGGCGGUUCCGCAAGUCCUGUGUGAAAUCUUCGGGCUCAACUCGAAGUCUGCACGGGAAACUGCGGGGCUUGAGUGUGGGAGAGGUGAGUGGAAUUCCCCGGUGUAGCGGUGAAAAUGCGUAGAUAUCGGGGAGGAACACCUGUGGCGAAAAGCGGCUCACUGGACCAUAACUGACGCUGAUGCACGAAAAGCUGGGGGAGCAAAACAGGAUUAGAAAACCCUG